UAUAUAUUGCAAUAUAUAUGUUCCGCAGUGGAGGUGGCUGGAUUGCAGCGGAUGCGUGACGCGUGAUGUGCAAAUACGCAGCAAAUGAUCGAAUGGCUUCAUCUCAUUAUCCGUCCACACAAAGAAAACAUAUGCAUUAUAAGACUGCACGGAGUUGAGGCUUCAUGGCCUCAGCAGGUCACACCACAGUUGAUACAAACAAAGAUUAAGAUUAAUAUUUCGCCUUUGAGAUCCAAUAAUCAAGAGGAAAAAAACUGUGCGCUUAAAGCCACCUCCACAUGUCUGGCAUCAUGAGUAGCCUGCCAGCAGCCACACCGUGAACCCAAUGCAGACAUUUUAGACACGACAAACGGGGCUGUCGUUGACUCUAAAAGCACAUUUUUGUCCUUUUUCCUUUCUUUUUAAACCGUGAUGCACACAAAGCUCGUUCUACUGCAUUUUUAAUCUGGUUAUUUUUGGCAAAGCGAGUCAUGGUGAUGGUGGCUGGAGAUGACGAUAAUUGAAAUGGUGGUGGUGGUGGUGAAGAUGAUGAUGAUGAUGAUGAUGAUGAUUGGGAGGAGGAGGAAUAACAAUGAGGGGGCAACAGCCGCCUCCGCGUUGACCAGAAAGGAAAAGGAAAGUCCAUGUGACAAAACAUUCAACUCCCACACAAAAAAACACAAGCGCUCUCAUGUCGGUAAACUGUUUUUUUUUAACUUCAUUGAUAACACGUGCCUAAAUACAAAUCGUAUGUUGUUGACCAAGCAAAAAACUGAAAUCCCUGUUUUGCAUAUUAGUAUUCACAAUUUUAUUUGGGCUGAACCGUGAAAAUACUUAUUUCUACAAUAUUAUAAUAUAUAAAAUACAAUAAUAAUUCUCAGAUUUGAUCAUCAGGAAAGCUAACAGAUUUUCUUUAUUUUUCUUCAGAAGAAAAAGUAAAGUAAUGCCGGAUAAGUUUCCACCUACCAGCAGUUCAGCCGUAGCAGCGGGGAGCUUCCCCUCCGCGUCGCGUCACACGUUGCGAGAAUUCCCCGCUUCCACGCGCACCGCCCCGCGCUCUCCUUUUUAUUCUUGUUGUUCUGUUGUGUGUGAGUUUGUUGUCUGGCGUAAAGUGCUGUCGCAGUAGCUGUUGCUCUUGUUAUUGUGUUGUUGUUGUUGUUGUUGUUGUCUCCUACUUCUCUCCCGGGAUUCCGCUCCUUUGGCUCCGUCGGAUUUCAGGACCACUGACAGCGGCAGCGGUUCUCUUAUACCGCUCGUGCCCCCCCCUCUCUCCUUGACCACGUGAUCCGUGCGUCAAGCGAUUCCCAUUGACGUCACCAGACCGGGUUUCAUUCAUAAGAUUUUUUGGUCGAACCAAUUAGCUGCAGUGCUGUUCUCUGCUGAAUGAACAGAGACUGGUGAAUGAAUUCGCAGUUUUUUGGCGCUCAGUGUGUCCGCAUGCAGGGCCGGACCCCGCCUCUCACCCAGAGAUGUCAAAUAAUACACAUUUAGGAAUGAAAAUAUGCACAGAUAACGCUUUUUGUUAAAUAUUAGGGCUUGAUCAUUUUUGUUUGGUUUCACGUUGGGGCUUCAUGUCACUCGUUCACACUCAUGUAUGCAUGUAUGACAGGAGCAAACUAGGGUGUGAGAACCCAGAGGAGUUGGGGGAUUUGAGGUCUUAUUUUUCCUUUAUGGCCCCCUUAUCUUUAUUAUUCAAUGUACCUUUUGCCACCCUACUACUUAAUGUAAAUAAGUAGUAGGGUGCCUCUCAGUUUAUGACACCUUGUUUAUAGCUGAAGAUGUGCUGAAGAUGUAUCCCCUGUGUAUAUUACUGUUUAUUAAUUGUUUCAGUCUACCGCAAAUUCUAAUUAUAACAAUAUGUUAUUUCAUGUACAUUUAUAUGUUUUAACCUCUGCACCGUUAUUUCUUAUCUGUCUGGAGCCUCAGAAGAACUUAAAGACUGCUCCACUCUAACUGUUGUGCACAAAACGGAUAAAGAACUGGAACUCUUGAUGCAUGCUCGUCCACGACAAAUAUAUGCAUUAUUUCAACAGAGCUGACAACGGUCAACAAAUGUAACAUGUGAUAACUUAAACCAUUCUAUCAACCUUCCAUUUAUUUGCUGCUGCGGCUGCAGCCCCACCUGCUGCUCAUACCUGCUUCAGUGAGGAAUAUAAAACCGAUUUCAAACUUUAAGCUUCAUCCUACUUUAUAUCGUUGCUAUAACACUUAAUAAUAUAAUAGUAUUGUUUUUUUAAUUAUGUCAUUCAAGUAUGCCGGUUUUCAUUUUCCACAAUAUGCAACAACUGAUUUAAAGCGUGUUGGUUUGCAAGUACUCUCAUCAUUUACUUCAUUAAAAGUACCUUUAGCACGUGUUACAUUCUCACUAAAGGUCCUGAAAAAGAAAAGUACCUAAAUAUUAUCAGAAUACCAGUAGAGAUGUACUAAUGGUAAUUUAUUACUGAUGCAGUUUUUCACAUAUAGUGUUUCAUUGAAAGUCAUUUUAACAACUACAUUUACCGUUAGGUGUCAUAUACGAUCACCCUGACCAUGUAUAAAACCUUGAUCUACAUAGUUGUCAGAGUCCAACAGUAAGAGGUUUACUGUGUACAAAGUAUGUACAGUAUAUAUGUACCUCAAAAAAAUUGUUGGUGGCCAAAAGGAAGUGAAAAUCUUCGUUGACUUGUUAAUUCAGCCCUUCAUAUUCAAAGGUGUUGUUGCUUUACCUCACUUCCUCUUUCGUAUCUGACAAACACUAGUGAUGAUUGUAAGUAAAUAUGUCCAUUUGGAUUAUAUUCUCAAUAUUCAGGUAAAUGCAGCUCCCAAGUAGCUGGGAUUAUUUUGGAAAGCACUGUUAUUUAUUAUUUGUCAAGCUCUUUUGAUCUACGUGUAAAACCAGCAGAAUACACAGAAACACUUGUAGCAGCACAGGCGGUUACAAAACAUCCAGAUACACUUAAGUUUAGCUCAAAACUGUUUAUUCUUUAUAAAAUUACAUUCACACACCAAGUCCCUUUAGUCUUUGCCUGGAUCACAGAUUAAAUGUAUUAUUCUUAUUCUCUUCCUACAAAGAACAAAACUACUUUCAGUGAGAGAUUUCCAUCAAAACCCUCUUUCUUUCACAUAAAGAAAUAAAUGUACAAGAUGAUAACCAAAUUGAUAAAGUCCUUGCAUAUGAUGGCUGAUUGACCAAAAGAAAAAUCUCACCCAAUGGAGAAGAACAAAAAACACAACUUAAUUCCACACACCAUUCAAAGAACGUCUCUCUGUAGGGCAGCAGAGGUCAGGCUCAAAACUCAACAAGUAAAACAGUGGGGCUGUCCUCACAUGUACAGGAGAACGUUAGGCUUCAAACACACACGUCAGAACAUCAGGAACCUGCAUUCUGAUGGAGAGAUUCAUUUCACGUGUAUACAGUGAACCUUCAGAGAGACGCCAUCUAAAAGUGACAGCUGUUAUUGCAUCGCGACUUCAAAGAAACUGGUCAUAUUGUAGGCCAACCAGGAACAUUUAC
ensembl:lncRNA